GAAGAAAGUGAUCCUGUGGAGCAGGAGAAGUCAAACUUAGUAACAGAAUCCUCUCGACAUUGUGGGCGGUUAGCACACAUUGCUCAUCAGCUUAUAUCUCUGUCGGAGAGCAAAUGGUAGCUGUGAAACACUCAGUUCCAUGGUUGAUUGGAUUUUAAGCUUAAAGACAUUGAGUGAGAGGGUGAAGAAGAAACCAGCCGGUGUCGUGCAAUCUAUCAAAUUCUCCUUGGUUGGUCUAACAUGUGGGCAAUCUCUUUUGAUCAAGAAACGGGUUUUGAAAUUUCUUUUUAUUGAAAAUAAUUUAUGGAUGACUCGUACUAGUAGUAUAUGAUGUAUGACUCACUAUUGUAGCACUACUAUCGUUUGUUAUAUCUCGUUUUUAUUAUUUUCUUUUUCCCCUUUUA